GGACGAAAGUCUGAUGGAGCAACGCCGCGUGAGUGAAGAAGGAUUUCGGUUCGUAAAACUCUGUUGCAAGGGAAGAACAAGUAGCGUAGUAACUGGCGCUACCUUGACGGUACCUUGUUAGAAAGCCACGGCUAACUACGUGCCAGCAGCCGCGGUAAUACGUAGGUGGCAAGCGUUGUCCGGAAUUAUUGGGCGUAAAGCGCGCGCAGGUGGUUCCUUAAGUCUGAUGUGAAAGCCCCCGGCUCAACCGGGGAGGGUCAUUGGAAACUGGGGAACUUGAGUGCAGAAGAGGAUAGUGGAAUUCCAAGUGUAGCGGUGAAAUGCGUAGAGAUUUGGAGGAACACCAGUGGCGAAGGCGACUGUCUGGUCUGUAACUGACACUGAGGCGCGAAAGCGUGGGGAGCAAACAGGAUUAGAUACCCUGGUAGUCCACGCCGUAAACGAUGAGUGCUAAGUGUUGGGGGGUUUCCGCCCCUCAGUGCUGCAGCUAACGCAUUAAGCACUCCGCCUGGGGAGU
rnacentral:rRNA from 1 species